rnacentral:lncRNA from 1 species
CAGUUCAUGCCGUGGAGGAAGUGGUGAAGGAGGUGGUGGGACAUGCCAAGGAGACUGGAGAGAAAGCUGCAGGAGCCAGACAUGUGGAGUCCCAGCAGAGGCCAACCUGUGUCUCUUCAUCUCCGUGAGAAAGGUGCCCCCGAAGUGAAAGAGAUGGCCUGGUGGAAAGCCUGGGUAAGUGGGAGCUGGCAGGAGAUUUGGGUUCCUGCAUGGUGUUGGGUGCUGGUCACCAGGGAGUCCUG